rnacentral:rRNA from 1 species
CACGUAGGGGGCAAGCGUUGUCCGGAUUUAUUGGGCGUAAAGAGCUCGGUAGGCGGUUCGGUAAGUCGGGUGUGAAACCUCCAGGCUCAACCUGGAGAUGCCACCUGAUACUGCUGUGACUCGAGUCCGGUAGGGGAGCGUGGAAUUCCUGGUGUAGCGGUGAAAUGCGCAGAUAUCAGGAGGAACACCGGUGGCGAAGGCGGAUCUCUGGGCCUUACCUGACGCUCGAGGUGCGAAAGCUAGGGGAGCGAACAGG